rnacentral:rRNA from 1 species
CAAUGGAGAGUUUGAUCCUGGCUCAGGAUGAACGCUGGCGGCGUGCCUAAUACAUGCAAGUCGAACGCUUCACUUCGGUGAAGAGUGGCGAACGGGUGAGUAAUACAUAAGUAACCUGGCAUCUACAGGGGGAUAACUGAUGGAAACGUCAGCUAAGACCGCAUAGGUGUAGAGAUCGCAUGAACUCUAUAUGAAA